AUUGAACGCUGGCGGCAUGCUUUACACAUGCAAGUCGAACGGUAACAGGCCGCAAGGUGCUGACGAGUGGCGAACGGGUGAGUAAUGUAUCGGAACGUGCCCAGUCGUGGGGGAUAACGCAGCGAAAGCUGUGCUAAUACCGCAUACGAUCUAUGGAUGAAAGCGGGGGACCGUAAGGCCUCGCGCGAUUGGAGCGGCCGAUAUCAGAUUAGGUAGUUGGUGGGGUAAAGGCUCACCAAGCCAACGAUCUGUAGCUGGUCUGAGAGGACGACCAGCCACACUGGGACUGAGACACGGCCCAGACUCCUACGGGAGGCAGCAGUGGGGAAUUUUGGACAAUGGGCGCAAGCCUGAUCCAGCAAUGCCGCGUGCAGGACG
rnacentral:rRNA from 1 species